AUUGAACGCUGGCGGCAUGCUUUACACAUGCAAGUCGAACGGGCUUGGGGGCUUGCUCCCAAGUUAGUGGCGAACGGGUGAGUAAUACAUCGGAACGUACCGUGUAGUGGGGGAUAACUUAGCGAAAGUUAGGCUAAUACCGCAUACGAUCUACGGAUGAAAGUGGGGGACCUUCGGGCCUCACGCUAUACGAGCGGCCGAUGUCUGAUUAGCUAGUUGGUGAGGUAAAGGCUCACCAAGGCGACGAUCAGUAGCGGGUCUGAGAGGAUGAUCCGCCACACUGGGACUGAGACACGGCCCAGACUCCUACGGGAGGCAGCAGUGGGGAAUUUUGGACAAUGGGCGAAAGCCUGAUCCAGCCAUGCCGCGUGUCUGAAGAAGGCCUUCGGGUUGUAAGG
rnacentral:rRNA from 1 species